GAUGAAGAACGUAGCGAAAUGCGAUACGUAAUGUGAAUUGCAGAAUUCAGUGAAUCAUCGAAUCUUUGAACGCAUAUUGCGCUCUCUGGUAUUCCGGAGAGCAUGCUUGUUUGAGUAUCAGUAAACACCUCAACUCCCUUUUCUUUUUUGAAAUUGGAGCUGGACUUGAGUGAUCCCAACGCUUUCUUCCAAGAAAGUGGCGGGUUGCUUGAAAUGCAGGUGCAGCUGAACUUUUCUCUGAGCUAUAAGCAUAUCUAUUUAGUCUGCCUAAAAAACAGAUUAUUACCUUUGCUGCAGCUAACAUAAAGGAGACUAGUUCUUGUGCUGACUGAUGCAGGAUUCACAGAGACAGCUUCGGCUGAAUUUGUAAACUCGAUCUCAAAUCAAGUAAGACUACCCGCUGAACUUAAGCAUAUCAAUAAGCGGAGGA
rnacentral:misc_RNA from 1 species